rnacentral:hammerhead_ribozyme from 1 species
ACCCAGCUGACGAGUCCUAAAUAGGACGAAACGCGCGUCCUGGAC